GCUCAGUGGUUAGAGCAUUGGUUUUGCAAAUCAAGGGCUAUGAGUUUGAAUCUCAC
rnacentral:tRNA from 1 species